rnacentral:rRNA from 1 species
CGAGCGAUGAAGUCUCCUUCGGGAAACGGAUUAGCGGCGGACGGGUGAGUAACACGUGGGUAACCUGCCUCAUAGAGUGGAAUAGCCUUCCGAAAGGAAGAUUAAUACCGCAUAACGUUGAAAGAUGGCAUCAUCAUUCAACCAAAGGAGCAAUCCGCUAUGAGAUGGACCCGCGGCGCAUUAGCUAGUUGGUGGGGUAACGGCCUACCAAGGCGACGAUGCGUAGCCGACCUGAGAGGGUGAUCGGCCACAUUGGGACUGAGACACGGCCCAGACUCCUACGGGAGGCAGCAGUGGGGAAUAUUGCACAAUGGGGGAAACCCUGAUGCAGCAACGCCGCGUGAGUGAUGAAGGUUUUCGGAUCGUAAAGCUCUGUCUUUGGGGAAGAUAAUGACGGUACCCAAGGAGGAAGCCACGGCUAACUACGUGCCAGCAGCCGCGGUAAUACGUAGGUGGCGAGCGUUAUCCGGAUUUACUGGGCGUAAAGGGAGCGUAGGCGGAUGAUUAAGUGGGAUGUGAAAUACCCGGGCUUAACUUGGGUGCUGCAUUCCAAACUGGUUAUCUAGAGUGCAGGAGAGGAGAGUGGAAUUCCUAGUGUAGCGGUGAAAUGCGUAGAGAUUAGGAAGAACACCAGUGGCGAAGGCGACUCUCUGGACUGUAACUGACGCUGAGGCUCGAAAGCGUGGGGAGCAAACAGGAUUAGAUACCCUGGUGGUCCACGCCGUAAACGAUGAAUACUAGGUGUGGGGGUUUCAACACCUCCGUGCCGCCGCUAACGCAUUAAGUAUUCCGCCUGGGGAGUACGGUCGCAAGAUUAAAACUCAAAGGAAUUGACGGGGACCCGCACAAGUAGCGGAGCAUGUGGUUUAAUUCGAAGCAACGCGAAGAACCUUACCUACACUUGACAUCCCUUGCAUUACUCUUAAUCGAGGAAAUCCCUUCGGGGACAAGGUGACAGGUGGUGCAUGGUUGUCGUCAGCUCGUGUCGUGAGAUGUUGGGUUAAGUCCCGCAACGAGCGCAACCCUUGUCGUUAGUUACUACCAUUAAGUUGAGGACUCUAGCGAGACUGCCUGGGUUAACCAGGAGGAAGGUGGGGAUGACGUCAAAUCAUCAUGCCCCUUAUGUGUAGGGCUACACACGUGCUACAAUGGCUGGUACAGAGAGAUGCAAUACCGCGAGGUGGAGCCAAACUUAAAAACCAGUCUCAGUUCGGAUUGUAGGCUGAAACUCGCCUACAUGAAGCUGGAGUUACUAGUAAUCGCGAAUCAGAAUGUCGCGGUGAAUACGUUCCCGGGUCUUGUACACACCGCCCGUCACACCAUGAGAGUUGGCAAUACCCGAAGUCCGUGAGCUAA